GCGGGUUUAGCUCAGUUGGGAGAGCGUCAGACGUACGUUUCCCAACCUCAAAUGCUACGCAUUCCUGCUAACCCAAUGCGCAGUGAAGCCAACUUCAAUUCGUCUAUCUGAAGGUCAUGUGUUCGAUCCACAUAAACCGCA